rnacentral:snRNA from 1 species
GUGCUCGCUUCAGUAGCACAUAUACUAAUAUUGGAAUGAUACAGAGAAGAUUAUCAUGGCCCCUGCACAAGGAUGACACGCAAGUUCAUGAAGUGUUCCAUAUUUUU